rnacentral:rRNA from 1 species
GUGAGGUGGAGCAAAACUCAAAAACUUAGUCUCAGUUCGGAUUGUAGGCUGAAACUCGCCUACAUGAAGCUGGAGUUGCUAGUAAUCGCGAAUCAGCAUGUCGCGGUGAAUACGUUCCCGGGCCUUGUACACACCGCCCGUCACACCAUGAGAGUUGGCAAUACCCAACGUACGUGAUCUAACCCGCAAGGGAGGAAGCGUCCUAAGGUAGGGUCAGCGAUUGGGGUGAAGUCGUAACAAGGUAGC